rnacentral:rRNA from 1 species
GCGGCGGCGUGCUUAACACAUGCAAGUCGAGCGGUAAGGCCUUUCGGGGUACACGAGCGGCGAACGGGUGAGUAACACGUGGGUGAUCUGCCCUGCACUUCGGGAUAAGCCUGGGAAACUGGGUCUAAUACCGGAUAUGACCUCCUAUCGCAUGGUGGGUGGUGGAAAGAUUUAUCGGUGCAGGAUGGGCCCGCGGCCUAUCAGCUUGUUGGUGGGGUAAUGGCCUACCAAGGCGACGACGGGUAGCCGACCUGAGAGGGUGACCGGCCACACUGGGACUGAGACACGGCCCAGACUCCUACGGGAGGCAGCAGUGGGGAAUAUUGCACAAUGGGCGAAAGCCUGAUGCAGCGACGCCGCGUGAGGGACGACGGCCUUCGGGUUGUAAACCUCUUUCAGCAGGGACGAAGCGCAAGUGACGGUACCUGCAGAAGAAGCACCGGCUAACUACGUGCCAGCAGCCGCGGUAAUACGUAGGGUGCAAGCGUUGUCCGGAAUUACUGGGCGUAAAGAGUUCGUAGGCGGUUUGUCACGUCGUUUGUGAAAACUCACAGCUCAACUGUGAGCCUGCAGGCGAUACGGGCAGACUUGAGUACUGCAGGGGAGACUGGAAUUCCUGGUGUAGCGGUGAAAUGCGCAGAUAUCAGGAGGAACACCGGUGG